CCCAAGACAACAGUAAGCUCUUCUUUUCUUCUCUUUUUCUUUUCAGAAAAAAAGGAAGAACAAGAUCACAGUUUGUUGUGCUAAAAGUAGGAAAAUCCAAUCCGUGCCGGACUGUCCAAUCCAGUCCAAUCCCAUCCUAUCCCAUCCAGCCUUUGAUUCGGAAUCGAAGUGAGCUCAGAAACAACCAAUCAAAUCAUUAGAAAUGGUGCUUCAUGCGACAGAGGAAGCACCGCGUUUCACUUGUUGAUGCGACGGCGUUUGGGAGUACGAGUGCGAGUGGGACUUCGCAUUUGAUAUUGACACUGCAACAACAACCGGAGAAGAAGAAGAAGAAGAAGAAGAUGGAGAAGGGUUAGUGUUAAUUGUGGUGGAUUUGGUGCUUAAUGAAGGGCGGGGUUGCGGGGUUGCGGGCGGUAGUUAUUCGGGGAAGCGGCGGUGGAAGGGGUUGGUGAUUGAUGUGUUGGGUCUGGUUUUUCUUUCCAUGCUCGUUCCUCUUCUCUUCCUUCUCGGCCUUCACAAUGGCUUUCACCCUCCCGGAUAUGUACCAGAACAACGAAAUUCGCCUUCAAUUGGAGGAUAUGGUACAAAAAUCAUCAUAAAUGCUUCUAAUCUGUCAGUGGGGGGUGGUUCGAAGCAUGUAGAUGAUUUCGUGAAAAAUUUCACACCAACCCUUUCAAAGGAUAUACUAAACAAUAUUUCACUUGAAGCUAUUUCACAUAAAGCUGAAAAUGAAACCAAAAAUAUCAGUGCCGUUUGCAACAAUGAACAAGCCAGUGUCAUUCACAACAAUGAACAAGCCAGUGUUGUUCACAACAAUGAACAAGCCAGUGUCGUUCUCAACAACGAAUAAGCCAGUGUCGUCCACAGCAAUGAACAAUCAAAAGGCCUGUUAAUGUUCAAUGCCUUCUAAGGUUUGUCUAUCCUUUUUACUUGCCACGUAAUAGAUUCUAACUUGAAUUUUGUUUUCAGUAACUGCAGGAGUUUCAACUCCACCUCAUGAUGGUCCGCACUCACUUCCCGUUGAAAAUAAAUCUAAAGCUUGUGACUCAGCUCAAGUCAUUGAUUAUGCGAAAGGUGGUGUGGAUCAAAGUGGAAAAUCAUGCGAGUUGAAGUUUGGGAGCUACUGCCUUUGGCACGAACAACAUAGAGAAGACAUGAAGGAUAUUAUGGUGAAGAGAUUGAAGGAUCAACUAUUUGUGGCUCGAGCAUAUUUUCCUAGUAUCGGGAAACUUCCAUCACAGGACAAGUUGUCUCGUGAGUUGAGACAAAAUAUUCAGGAGGUGGAGCGUGUUCUUAGUGAAAGUACUACAGAUGUUGAUCUUCCCCCAGAGUAUGCGCGUUUGGGCACGAACACCAUCUCUUACAUAUGAGUUAUCCUUGAGGAGAUGCAUAUGAAUUGGAUUGCAGCUGGGGCAACUAUUUUGUCGCUGUCCCAGACUCCCCAACCAUGCCAGGCAUGUAAUUCAUUAUUGAAACCAGAGCCUCUCCAUGCUCAAGAGUUCCACAGGUAUGUCACCACUCUUUUACAUAUUUCUGCUUUGAUUUCCAAUACGAGGUUAAAGCCUUUGAUUUCCAACAAAUUUCAGUUAGGUAAUUUGAUUUCCCUCAAAAGACAUAAAUUAUGUGUUUUCUUUAAUCAUUUUGUUAUAAUAUUCAACCCAUUUCAAUUUAUUACCAACCGAAUCCUAAUUUGUUCAAUUUCUUUUCAUCUGGCGAUUGAGUGUGGUUGUUUGCGUUCUCUUUGAGAAAUUACAAGCUAUGCUACAAUCUCAGUUAUACUAUGUUUGGAUGGAGAAUUUCUAAAUUAUCACAGAAUUUUAAAUGACGGGAAUUACAAUUGGCAGUAAUUAAAUUCCCCGUUAAAUGAAUUUCAUCGUUUGGAUGUUGGAUACAUAUAAAUUACAAAAUGACGGGAAUUCCAAAUUUCAUUGUUUCAAUAUUCUCUAGAAUUUGUAUUAAAUAGAGGAAUACAAGUUUGAAUCAAAAGUUAAAAUGGUUAUAAAUCUAUCACUCCCUCAUACGAAAUAUACCAAUCACCGUAUCAGAUUAUUCGAUUGCAGAAAAAAAUUAGAAAAGGAUACAUAUCUGUGGAGAUGGCCAUUUGAAACAUAAUAUGUUGCGAGCAGUAUCAAAAGGAAACAGAACUACAGACGCAAAGGGAAAAGUAAAAUAAGGUAUGAAGGCAAGCUAAGUCUAGUCUGUGAGUGCUUGCUUACACUUAUCCAUUCGUUGUUUGGAUUGAUAUCAAAAGCUUUCAUAUGACUGCCAAGAGGAAAGCCAAAGGAGAUGGGUAAAAGGAAAAUAAGGCAACUGCCAUACUUAACUGGGAAAUAAGUUUGCCACAGUGCUUCUAUUGAAAACACAAAGUUUAAUUGGUGGCAGGCGCUGCCAUAUUAAUGCUUGAAUGUUCGGUUCUUUCAAGAAUUGCUCAAACUAGUUGAUGCACGAAAAAUGAUUCUGCAGUAACCAUUGAUGCCAGAAACAGACUAAAUUUCGUCUUCGGCAGUUAUUCCACAGAGUGCAUAUAGUUACAUUCU